ensembl:lncRNA
GUAAACCAGUUGAAAGGCCACAGGGGCCCAUUGUUGAUCUCAUGCUUUCAAAAUAUGGCCCUGAUAGUUUAAAACAUUUACAAGAAUGGUGAUGAGAGGGUCAUCAAGUACGGCACAGAUACAGAUACUAGACAUUUUAUAUUAUUUUAAUUCUGCUAUUUUAUACUAUUUUAAGCCCGUACAUACAUAUAUGAGUGGAUUACAGAUACAUAUUGCCUUUUGGUCAAAUAUUUAUUGACACACUUCACUCAACUUCUUGGAAAACAUGUAAUCAAACAAAUGUUUAUGUCCCUUUGCAUCUACUACCAAAUCAGCUUCUGACAUCCCAUUGGUUCACAUUGAUCCCUUACUGUGUUAAGUCCCGCCUCCAACAUCCUGUUUAAUCAGGUGAUAGAUCACAAGCUUGCACUUCACUGCAAUUGAAAGGCCAUCAAACAUUGCUAAACCAUAUUCACCCUGCAAGUGACAUUAAGUUACUGCAGGUCCACUUGUUUCCUGUACAGUCGAGUAGAACAACGCAAGUGAGGACGUGUACGUUUAUGUGAACUCAACAAGCUCCUUCACUGAGAACAUUGAUUUUGCCAACCUGAUCUGGAGGCUUUCCCAGUGAUGUGUUUCAGUUUCAACAGUUACACCUGUUGAUGAUUUCAAAAUGGUCAAAGAAUUGAUUCCAGACAUUGAAAUCCUCCCAGUUCUUUGCAACUUUCAACAUCUCAGAGACGGACUGGAAAGUGAUUUCACCUGUGGAAUUUCAAGUCAGCUCUAAAGACAUUUUGUUAGAGAUAUGUGACGGUUUUGACUUGAUCGACAACAGAAAUAGGAUUAAAAUCCAGUGUCUGUACAUUCUGAUGGUGAGACAGUUCACCUGGACCUCCACCUGGACUACAGAAAGAUGAACUCUGGGCUCCAUCUGCUCACCAGUCCACCUCUGGAAUGCUCUUCUGGUCCCGUCGAGCUCUUGGCCUCGUCCUUCCCGACUGAUGAUCAGCCAGACAACAUUACCUCCCGACCAAUCAGGCGCCUGGAUCCAUACCUCAUCCCACAGGCCAGCAUGUGUACAGCUGCACGUGGAGAGAAGCCCGUGUUGCAUUGGAGAGCUCUGCAGUGACUCCUCCCACUCCGCUGCACAACGCUGUGAAUCAGACCGCUGUCGUCACUGCACCCGGUCCAUCAUGUCAACGGCACACUUUAACAUUAUGGGCUAGUGUGGUUGUGUGUGUGAGGGGCUGUCAAGUAAGAAUCAAGCAAUCAAACUUUAUUUAUAGAGCAAAAAAGUGCAAACAAUACAGCCUCCCCCUUCACAAUCCAUAAACAGAGCAACACUUACAAGUCAGACUGAAAAGUAUGUGCUUGCAUUGUGCAUGAUUAUUCCCCUAUUCUGUGCCACCAACUGAAGCUCUGACACGUGCACUUCUUACUUCAUAUAUUGAAGUCUAGUAUCGGGCAAACAAGUGUCCGUCAGGUCCUCUGGGAGACUGUUCCACCGUCGCAGGCCGCAGUAAUAAAAUGAUCUCUGAUCCUCCACGCUUCAUGUCUCGGGAUCAGUGAGCUCUUGCAUCAACACACACGGAAACACUCCACACACACACACACCAGUCGGUGCGUACAUCAUCAGCUAUGUUUUCCAUGCUUCAUGUCUCCUCUGCCCGUUUCUCCCACACUAAUAUCUCAGUUUUAUUAGGAGGUUGUUGGCGAGAGUGCUUCCUGUAAUCAGAAGUAUGUUUUGACCUGUUUACUGAGGAACCGUAUCGUAUUGGAUAACAUCUCCUAUUACUGUUUAAACACAGUGCUGGAGUUCAGGUUGACAUACGGAGAGAGUGAGCCCCCGCAGGUCCCUGAACAGCUGUCUUUGCAUAAUAGUCUAAUCUACAUAUGAAUUAAUGAGAACAUUAACGUUUAAGUUUGCAGAUGUUUGCCCAUUACAAUACUAGACUUCAAGAUAUGAAGGAAGAAGUGCAAGUGUCAGAGCUUACAGUCACAGAGUACGGGAAUAAUCACGCACAAUGCAAGGACUUAAUAUUAAGGACAGAACUCUGCAACCUGCUGAAGUUUAGCUUUUGGUAGAUGCUUUGUUAUAUGUCAAACAACAGACACAGGGAUGAUUCUUCAGUUGGUGAGUUUAGUGUGAUGUCUUGUGGGUUUUCAGACCCACACACAACCAGAGAGGUGAAGCAGAAGUACUAAUGUCAACCAGAGAGGGAAGUACAACUCUGCUUUUCAGCCGAGUGUUAACUUACUCUUUAAAAUUGUUCCACUUACCGGACAUGAAUGUGGCAAAAUGUGCAACUUUGCAAGCUCUUUGUGCAACAAGGUACAUUAUUUUAUUUCACAAGGCUUUCCCAGGAUACGUAUACUUUUGAGAUUUUUGCUUCUAAAACAUGUCAACAUCCAAAAAUACAAAUUUAAAUCUUUAUUUUAUUACACUUCUUUUAUUUGCAUGUGUAGAUCACACCAAAAGCUAGCAUUAGAUCAUGCAUAUUUACAUAUUUAAACAUAAUAUUUCAGACAAUUUUAAAUUUAACAAUGUAUUUUUGAUUGUAAGUAAUGAACUGGGAAAGUGUUUUUCUUCUAGAGGCCUUGUUAUAUUUUAAAUGUAUAAAUAAAUCUGUGUUUCUAAUGUUCCUUUGGAGUGAAAUCCUGAAUAAAUGGAACUUGUUGGGCUGUUGAAAUGCAUUGUGGGUAGCCUGAGUGAUCACUAU